rnacentral:rRNA from 1 species
UCGGGAAUUUUGGGCAAUGGGCGAAAGCCUGACCCAGCAACGCCGCGUGAAGGAUGAAGUAUUUCGGUAUGUAAACUUCGAAAGAAUAGGAAGAAUAAAUGACGGUACUAUUUAUAAGGUCCGGCUAACUACGUGCCAGCAGCCGCGGUAAUACGUAGGGACCAAGCGUUGUUCGGAUUUACUGGGCGUAAAGGGCGCGUAGGCGGCAAUUCAAGUCAUCUGUGAAAUCUCCGGGCUUAACUCGGAACGGUCAGAUGAUACUGCUUUGCUAGAGUGCAGAAGGGGCAAUCGGAAUUCUUGGUGUAGCGGUGAAAUGCGUAGAUAUCAAGAGGAACACCUGAGGUGAAGACGGGUUGCUGGGCUGAUACUGACGCUGAGGCGCGAAAGCUAGGGUAGCAAACGGGAUUAGAUACCCAUGUAGUCCCUGAGCGGGCUGGCAAGGCGCAU